rnacentral:rRNA from 1 species
CUCAAAGGAAUUGACGGGGCCCGCACAAGCGGUGGAGCAUGUGGUUUAAUUCGAUGAUACGCGAGGAACCUUACCUGGGCUCAAAUGUAUGUUGACGUAUUCUGAAAGGGAUACUUCUUCGGACAAUAUACAAGGUGCUGCAUGGUUGUCGUCAGCUCGUGCCGUGAGGUGUCGGGUUAAGUCCCAUAACGAGCGCAACCCCUAUCAUUAGUUGCCAUCAGGUCAAGCUGGGGACUCUAAUGAAACUGCCUACGCAAGUAGUGAGGAAGGUGGGGAUGACGUCAAAUCAGCACGGCCCUUACGUCCAGGGCUACACACGUGCUACAAUGGUCGGUACAAAGGGUUGCCAAGCCGCGAGGUGGAGCUAAUCCCAUAAAACCGAUCGUAGUCCGGAUCGCAGUCUGCAACUCGACUGCGUGAAGUCGGAAUCGCUAGUAAUCGUGAAUCAGAAUGUCACGGUGAAUACGUUCCCGGGCCUU